rnacentral:misc_RNA from 1 species
GGAAAAGAACGGGGUAGUAAUUCUGAUAAGCAAAAAAAUAACAGAAAAUAAAGAAAAAGGACAAUAAAUAAUUGCCUAGUUAUUAACUUCAACAGUGAAUUCAGAAGUCACAACCCCAAGUUCUACUGAAGAGAAUAUAGCCAACAGGCAUUUCAGACACAUCAUAAAAUAUUGUAGUAAUGUUGAGCGUGAUUUUAGCCAUUUCACUACUGAAGCUUGUUAUACAAAGGGGUUGAAAGACUCCAUGAACUUUUCUUGAAGCUCAGAAUGCACCAAUUGUUCACAGAACUGAUUGAUUAUUAAUUACAGAAGAAAAGACAGUCA